GAUAGCAGUCGGAUUUUAUUUUUCACUUUCUGGGUGUCAGAAUGACAUGAAACAUUAAAUCUAGCCUCAUAAAAAUAAUUCUGACAUAUUCUCCAGUUUUCAUAAUUUUCUGACACUGUGCAUUUUUGCUAAAAUAUCAGCUCCAUUUCUCACAGAAAAUUCUAAGUCUUCUGUUUUCGUACCGAUUUCAACACAAGUCAUUUCUGACUUAUAUUUUACUUCUCUAAAUCCAAUAAAAAUAGUAUCUCACACUAUUUUUUAUUUAUUUUUACUUUUAUACCAAAAUUCGGUAUGUUACACUUAUAGU
rnacentral:lncRNA from 1 species